rnacentral:rRNA from 1 species
UACGUAGGGUGCGAGCGUUGUCCGGAAUUAUUGGGCGUAAAGAGCUCGUAGGCGGCUUGUUGCGUCGACCGUGAAAACCUGCGGCUUAACCGUGGGCGUGCGGUUGAUACGGGCGGGCUGGAGUUCGGUAGGGGAGACUGGAAUUUACGGUGUAGCGGUGAAAUGCGUAGAUAUCGUAAGGAAGACCAGUGGCGAAGGCGGGUCUCUGGACAGUUCCUGACGCUGAGGCACGAAGGCCAGGGGAGCAAACGGG